rnacentral:rRNA from 1 species
UACGUAGGGCGCAAGCGUUGUCCGGAAUUAUUGGGCGUAAAGAGCUCGUAGGCGGUUUGUCGCGUCUGCUGUGAAAAUCCUCAGGCUCAACCUGGGGCUUGCAGUGGGUACGGGCAGACUAGAGUGCGGUAGGGGGUGACUGGAAUUCCUGGUGUAGCGGUGGAAUGCGCAGAUAUCAGGAGGAACACCGAUGGCGAAGGCAGGUCACUGGGCCGCAACUGACGCUGAGGAGCGAAAACAUGGGGAGCGAACAGG